GAUGAACGCUGGCGGCGUGCCUAAUACAUGCCAGUCGAGCGAACAGACGAGGAGCUUGCUCCUCUGACGUUAGCGGCGGACGGGUGAGUAACACGUGGAUAACCUACCUAUAAGACUGGGAUAACUUCGGGAAACCGGAGCUAAUACCGGAUAAUAUAUUGAACCGCAUGGUUCAAUAGUGAAAGACGGUUUUGCUGUCACUUAUAGAUGGAUCCGCGCCGCAUUAGCUAGUUGGUAAGGUAACGGCUUACCAAGGCAACGAUGCGUAGCCGACCUGAGAGGGUGGUCGCCCACACUGGAACUGAGACACGGCCCAGACUCCUAGGGGAGGCAGCAGUAGGGAAUCUUCCGCAAGGGGCGAAAGCCUGACGGAGCAACGCCGCGGGAGUGAUGAAGGUCUUCGGAUCGUAAAACUCUUUUAUGAGGGAAAAAAAAAUGUGUAAGAAACUAGGCACGUCUGGACGGUACCUAAUAAGAAAGCCCCGGCUAACUACGUC
rnacentral:rRNA from 1 species